rnacentral:rRNA from 1 species
GAUUAACGCUGGCGGCGUGCAUAACACAUGCAAGUCGAACGAUGAAACUUUUUUGAUUUCUUCGGAAUGAUUAAAAGUGGAUUAGUGGCGGACGGGUGAGUAACGCGUGAGUAACCUGCCUUAGAGAAGGGGAUAGCCUUUGGAAACGAAGAAUAAUACCCUAUGAAACCAUCACCUCGCAUGAGGAAUUGGUCAAAGAUUUAUCGCUCUAAGAUGGACUUGCGUCUGAUUAGUUAGUUGGUGGGGUAACGGCCCACCAAGACAGCGAUCAGUAGCCGGCUUGAGAGAGUGUACGGCCACAUUGGGACUGAGACACGGCCCAGACUCCUACGGGAGGCAGCAGUGGGGAAUUUUGCACAAUGGGGGAAACCCUGAUGCAGCGACGCCGCGUGAUUUAGAAGGCCUUCGGGUUGUAAAAAUCUUUUCUAUGGGAAGAAAAUGACAGUACCAUAGGAAUAAGGACCGGCUAAUUACGUG